rnacentral:rRNA from 1 species
UACGUUGGGGGCAAGCGUUGUCCGGAUUUAUCGGGCGUAAAGAGCGUGUAGGCGGCUUUGCAAGUCCGUUGUGAAAACUCGAGGCUCAACCUCGAGACGCCGGUGGAAACUGCAAAGCUAGAGUCCGGAAGAGGAGAGUGGAAUUCCUGGUGUAGCGGUGAAAUGCGCAGAUAUCAGGAAGAACACCCGUGGCGAAGGCGGCUCUCUGGGACGGUACUGACGCUGAGACGCGAAAGCGUGGGGAGCGAACAGG